GAAAACGUUGGGAGAUGGGAAUGGCGGAAAUGGCGGCGGCGAUGCGGCCGAUGGGUGGGUCGGGGGGUUGAAUGGGUUGUUGAAGUUUAAUUAUCCCUUUGGGUCAGAGGCAUGAGUUGAAGUAGAUUCUCCUUUCGUAUCCAUCUAUCUGCGCGGUUGUUUUCUUUGAUUCCCCUCAUGCGAUGUGGUAUGUAUUUUGCCAUUCCAGCGAAACCAUGAUGCGAAAUUUGUCACACUGGCUUUUUGCUUUCUUGAAACCUGAGAGCGCAUAAAGUGAAGAUCGCCUAAUGAAGCCCUUUUGUUUUCAUUUAUUCUCCCUUACUGAACUGUUCAGUUUUAGAACAAGACCUCCCUCUAGUGGCGCUUGCUGCAUGUAUACUUACAUUUCCCGGAUCACUUACCUUUCCUUCCUCUCAGUCCCCUCUACAUGAAUUCACUUCAUCCCAACAUGUUUCUUUGUAUAUAUGUAUAUACAAGCUCAUGUACACAACCCCUGC
rnacentral:sRNA from 2 species